CCGUCUCCCCCCCCGUCUCUCCGGUGCCGCUUCGCCUCCGUUCCCUCCUCGUGCGCCAUGUUGUCGGGUUGAACCCCGUUUCUUCUUGUUUUAAAAUGAGUGCGUCCAGGGUGUCCAACGUGUCCUUUCACGUCUCCAACCUGUUGGAUAAGAUGACGUCAUCUGACAAAGACUUUCGCUUCAUGGCCACCAACGACCUGAUGCUGGAGCUGCAGAAGGACAGCACGAAGCUGGACGAGGACAGCGAGAGGAAGGUGGUGACGAUGGUCCUCAGGCUGCUGGAGGACAAGAACGGGGAGGUCCAGAACCUGGCGGUCAGAUGCCUGGCCCCUCUGGUGAGCAAGGUGAAGGAGCCUCAGGUGGAGACGAUGGUGGACACGCUGUGUUCCAACAUGACGUCGGACAAGGAGCCGCUGAGGGACAUCUCCAGCAUGGGACUGAAGGCGGUGAUCGCUGAGCUGCCUCUGUCUUCAUUAGGUUCCAGCCUGACGGUCGGCGUCUGUAAGAAGAUCACCUCCCAGCUGAUGGCCGCCCUGGAGAACCAGGAAGACGUGUCGGUUCAGCUGGAGGCUCUGGACAUCCUGUCAGACAUGUUGGGAAGGCUGAGCGGGGCACUGGUCAGCUUUCACAGCUCUCUGCUCUCCAGUCUGCUGCUUCAGUUGACCAGCCCCAGGAUGGCGGUAAGGAAGCGCUCCAUCUUGGCUCUCGGCCACCUGGUGCCCUGCUGUAGUCCCGCCCUCUUCGCCCAGCUGACUGAACACCUGAUGACCGAGUUGGCCAAAGACCCGCCCACUUCGAUGACGAGGACGUAUAUCCAGUGUCUAGCAACCGUCAGCCGUCAGGGAGGCCACCACGUCGGGGAACAUUUAGAGAAGCUGAUCCCGAUGGUGGUGAGUUUCAUCUGUGUGGAGGACGACGAGCUGAUCGAGUUUUGUCUCCAGGCCUUUGAAGCCUUCAUACGCAGGUGUCCUAUGGAGAUGUCUCCUCAUAUCCCGACGGUCACACGGCUUUGUCUUAAGUUCAUGACCUUUGACCCCAACUACAACUAUGAUGAAGAGGAAGAGGAGGAGGAAGAAGACAGCAUGGACGUGGAGGACGGACUGGAGGAAGACUCAGAUGAAGCGUACAGCGAUGAUGACGACAUGUCCUGGAAGGUGCGUCGCUCCUCCAUCAAGUGUCUGGAGGCCCUGAUGGAUGCUCGCCGGGACCUCCUGCUCUCCUUCUACUCCUCCAUCUGCCCCGCCCUUCUCGCCCGGUUCAAGGAGCGUGAAGACAACGUCCGGGCCGACGUCUUCGCCGCCUUCUCCACGCUGUUGAGGCAAACGCGGGCGGCAUCAAAUCGCGGGGGCCUCGGGGCCGCCUCAGAGCCGGCGGCGAGUCGGGAGGAGGAGGAGGAGGAGCCAGGGGUAGUGAUGCUGAAGAGACAGGUGCCCCUCAUAGUGAAGGCUCUCCACAGACAGCUGAAGGAGAAGAGCAUCAAACACCGUCAUGGCUGCUUCACUCUGCUCACUGACCUCAGUCACACAGCACCUGGAGCGCUGGAGCCACACAUACCUGCUCUGAUACCAGGCAUCAUCUUCUCUCUGACAGACCGCUCCACCUCCUCCACCAUGAGGAUCGAUGCCCUCUCCUUCUUCCAUGUUCUCCUCCUCUCUCAUCCUCCUCAAGUCUUUCAGCCUCACAUGAGGGUGCUGCUGCCCCCGGUGGUGGCCUGUGUGGAGGACUCCUUCUAUAAGAUCACCUCUGAGGCUCUGCUCGUUGCUCAGCAGCUGGUCCGAGUGAUGAAGGCGCCGGCACAGAGCACCACGGCGUCGGGAAUCGACCCCGCCGCCUUCGUCAGGCAGGUGUUUCCCAUCAUCCUCAAGAGGCUGAAAGCCGCAGACAUUGACCAGGAGGUGAAGGAGAGGGCCAUUUCCUGUACAGGUCACCUGGUGUGUCACCUAGGCGACCACCUGGGGGUGGAGCUUGUGGGCGUCCUGGCCAUCUUCCUCGAGAGGUUGAGGAACGAGAUCACGAGGCUGACAGCCGUCCGCACCAUCACACUUAUCUCCGCCUCACCUUUAAAGAUCGACCUGGCCUCCAUCCUCCCGGAGACGCUGUCCGUUCUGGGGUCCUUCCUAAGGAAGAACCAGCGAGCCUUGAAGCUGGCCACGCUGGCCUGUCUGACCGCGCUGGUCCAGCAUCACGCCGCCGGCAUCAAACCCGCGGCACUGGAGCCCGUCCUGAGCGAGCUGCCGGCUCUGGUGGACGAGAGCGACAUGCACGUGUCACAGGUGUCCAUCUCCCUGCUGACCUCCAUGUCCAGAGCCUGCUCCUCCUCCGUGGCAAAGAUCUGCUCCUCCGUGCUGCCAGAUGUCUUUAGACUGGUCCAUUCUCCUCUGCUGCAGGGAGGCGCACUCGCAGCCAUACUGGACUUCCUGCAGGCACUGGUCCAGUCCAAAACCAAUAACCUGGGCUACAGUCAGUUGCUGAAGUCCCUCACAGACCCAUUCCACACCUCCCAGUCCUCGCUCCUCCACAAACAGUCCUACCAGUCUGUAGCUCGUUGUGUAGCUGCUCUGGCCUCCUCCUGUCCUUCACAGACACCGGCCACGGUGGCAGGACUCCUGCAGGAGGUGAAGAACCCAGGUUCUCCUGAGUCUGCUCGGGUCCUGGCUCUGCUGUGUCUGGGGGAGGUGGGGAGGAGCGGCAGCCUGGGAGCUAGUAAGGACGUGCAGGGAGUCAUCCUGGAGGCCAUCUCCUCCUCCAACGAGGAGGUGAAGACGGCGGCCUCCUGCGCUUUAGGCAGCAUGGCGGUCGGCAGCCUGGACGACUACCUGCCCUUCCUUCUGAAAGAGAUCUCCUCCCAGCCCAGGAGACAGUACCUCCUGCUGCACUCCCUCAAGGAGGUCAUCAGCGCCUGUGCAGCCUCCAGUCUCUCCCCCCACGUGGAGUCCAUCUGGACUCUACUCCUCCGGUACUGUGAGUGUGAUGAGGAAGGGACCCGGAACCUGGUGGCCGAGUGUCUGGGGAAGCUGACUCUGGUGAAGGCUGCUCAGCUGCUACCGAGGCUGAGACAGCAGCUCACUGCUGGUUCUCCUCUGACUCGCAGCACCGUGCUGACGGCCGUUAAGUUCACCAUCGUAGACCAACCGGCCGCCAUCGACGCUCUGCUGAGGGACUGCAUGGGUAGCGCACACAAAGACACACACACUCGUCCCGUUGGUUUGCUACUCACAGGUGCUCCUCCUCUGCUCUGCAGGUGACUUCUUGAAGACGUUGCAGGACGAGGACAUCAACGUGCGCCGCGUCUCCCUGGUGAUGUUCAACUCCGCCGUCCACAACAAGCCGUCUCUGAUCCGCGGUCUCCUAGCAACCGUGCUGCCUCACCUGUACCGGGAGACCCAGAUCAGGAAGGACCUCAUCAGAGAGGUGGAGAUGGGUCCCUUCAAGCACUCGGUGGACGAGGGGCUGGACCUGCGUAAAGCGGCAUUCGAGGUCAUGUACUCGCUGCUGGACGGCUCGCUGGAGGGUCUGGACCUCCUACAGUUUCUGGACCACGUGGAGGAAGGCCUGAAGGACCACUACGACAUCAGGGUGUGAGGGGGGGCACAGAACCAGAACCAGCCAUGAGGAUAAACCAUGUACCACUUGCAGCUGUUAUUCUUCUAGCUAUGCUAACCUUCCUGAUGCUAGCCAGACUAGCUUCUCUUUGUCCUGCUGCUGUUCUCCAACGUCUGGACCGACUCAUCGAGCCUCUGAAGGCCACCUGCACCACCAAGGUGAAGGCCGGCUCCGUGAAGCAGGAGUUUGAGAAGCAGGAGGAGCUGCGGCGCUCGGCCAUGCGCGCCGUCGCCGCCCUGCUGGCCGUGCCGGGCAUGGAGCGCAGCCCCAGCCUGGCGGACUUUGCCAACCAGAUCAGAACCAACGCCGACAUGGCGUCCAUCUACCAGAGCGUCCAGGGGGGUGAGGGCCCCGUGGAGAGCAUGGACAUCAGCUAAAAUCAGGAGCCCUUUAAUGACACGUAUGUUACACAUACAGGGACUUGUUUCUGUGAUUGGUCCGGUUUGCGAGACAAAUAGAAUAAAAAAUAAUAAGAAUAAAAGAAUAAAAUCCAAUAAAAGUGGUUGAUUUUUGGGAUAAAGCACCUGCAGGAUUUCAGUCCAUGAAGCUACAGAAGCCCAGAAGAGAGGGGGGGGGGGAGUUAUGUUCCCUAAAGGCCACCGUAGUUCUCUCCAGUGUCCAGAUAGAGGACACAAAGUCCUGCCCACUGUCCCUCUGAGGACGCACUCUGUGGACUUCUCCUUGUUUGGCUGAGCUCACAUUUCUUUUAUGACAUCAUCGUGUAAAAUCAGCUGUGGUGUUUCUCCAUCUGAUGACAACAUGAAUAUGACACUUAGCUCAGAUGCACUGUGGGUCACGUGCUGGUGAGUUUAACUGGCUUAAUUGUUAGUGAGGUCAUCUGGUGACUAAAUCACCCGCAGGAGGCUGAAUUGUUGUCUGUCUCCAUGUCAGCCGGGGUGUACCCCUUAAGGCCCAUAGUAUGACCUCCGACCCCUCCGAGCUGCUGGAGGAUCAUGAGGUGGUCGAUGUCUGGAGGGAAUGGACACGACAGACAGCACACGUGGGCUCAUGCCAGAGGGGGAAGGUUUUAUUGUUUUAAACACUUCAACAUCUAUAGAAAGCGCAGCGUGCCGCCUGCUGGGUGCACUGACCAGCUCUGGUUCUGUGCAACGUUUGUGUCUCAAAUGGGAGAUCAAAAAGUGCAUACUGGCAUUUUAACACGCCUCUCUUACGAGAUGCACAUUUUAAGGAGGUUUUGCCUCUUAGACACAGUGGUGCGAUCGGGGGAAAGUCUCUGUCAGCAGGACACUCGCAUGUCACACGGGACGUCUCCAGAUCUAUGGGAGAUCUGGAGACUGGAAUUGUGGAACUGUUCUUGGCAGAAUCCACUGGAAAUCGAGAUCAUAUUGAAGAUCUCAAAACGAAAAAAUCUGCUCUUGCAGACCUGCUGGGCACGAAGGCUCGGGGGGCCAUCAAAGUCUUUCUUCGGUCUGGAGAAGAAGAACUGGUCGUUUCCACAGCUCUGAUUCAGGGAGGAGCUCAGAGACGCAAACGACAUCCAGAAGUUUUCACUUACUUUACUCUGACGAGUAUGAGAACAUUAAUGAGCUACCAAAGGUCUGAAGAGGUGAAUGCCUGGCAGACGAACUGGACUCGGCUCUGCAGGGCACGGGGGGGGGGGGGGGGGGGGGGGGGGGGGGUCCCAGGAUGGGCUUCCGGUGGAGCUUUACAAAGAGCUCUGGAGCGAGAAUGAGGAGGAUCUUCUAACCGUGUUCAACGAGAGUUUUAAAGACAUUUGUUUCUUGUUAUUGGUCUGCUUGCUAUGUUUAUUUCUCGUACAUAUUCUUUGAAGUAAAAUAAAGGUUUUCUAAAAACAACUA